rnacentral:rRNA from 1 species
AUACGUAGGGGGCGAGCGUUGUCCGGAAUGACUGGGCGUAAAGGGCGUGUAGGCGGCGGUGCAAGUCUGAAGUGAAAGCCCCGGGCUCAACCCGGGAAUUGCUUUGGAAACUGUUUAGCUGGCGUGCCGGAGAGGUAAGCGGAAUUCCUAGUGUAGCGGUGAAAUGCGUAGAUAUUAGGAGGAACACCGGCGGCGAAGGCGGCUUACUGGACUGUAACUGACGUUGAGGCUCGAAAGCGUGGGGAGCAAACAGGAUUAGAUACCCUGGUAGUCCACACUGUAAACGAUGAAUGCUAGGUGUAGGAGGUAUCGACCACUUCUGUGCCGCAGUAAACACAGUAAGCAUUCCGCCUGGGGAGUACGGUCGCAAGAUUAAAACUCAAAUGAAUUGACGGGG